UGGACUAGAUACUAGUCAGUCACAGGGCACAUGUAGAGAAAAACAACUAUGCACAUGAACUCACCCUGCCUGCACCAAAAUCAGGCAUAUGUACCAUUACACCAUCAGUGUCUCAAUUCAAACCCUUCCAAAUUCAACUCUUACAUUCGAUAUUUGAAUAUUUCAAUUUCAGCCCAGUGUCAGCUUUUCAAAAUGACUGUGCAAUUUCAACCAAAAAAAACAACAACUUUGUAUUCUCCAUCUCUUUAAUAGAAUUAAGACAGUAUACUCAUCCCACACUCCAUUAGAUACAGAUUCAGAAUCUAAUGUGAUCAAAUACAGUGUUAAAGGACUGGCUUGGAUUUGGGGCUUCCCCAGCCAUGAAGCACAAGUUCUGCUGAUGUAGCCUGGAGCAAAGCUAUGACCGUAGUAGUGUAAAAUACAUCUAUUUUUUUGUAAAGUCAGGAAUUUGUUAUUAAGACUUCCCAUUCACUUGUGCAGAUGUACUUAAUGUCGUGGCCAGUGAGGUUUGGAAUUUUGGGUGGUGACAGUGCCUCGACCUUGAGUCCUAUGUAUCACAUAAAAUACACCCGGUGGUGUAUCAACAGCAUACAAAUGACACCUUAUGAAAUAUGCUCAGACAGCAGAAUGCUGAUAAUGAUUACACAAGACGUCCAUGAUCUUAUUUGAAUCCCAAAUAUUAUGAGUAACACGGUCUUGCGGGUUGUAAAAAAAAAAAAAAAAGAGAGAGAGAGAGAGAGAGAGAGAGAGAGAGAGAGAGAGAGAGAGAGAGAGAGAGAGAGAGAGACAGAGAUUACAAAAGGUGCUGUGUUGAUAUUACCACACAAUUAACUGGCAGGGACUAUGCCAUUUAUGACGGGCAUCUGUUGUUUAUUUGAUACUGUGAACUCAUUGUUCUAUUACAGAUUGUAUAUUCUUGUCAUAGCUAUCAGGGUUUUAUGAUCUUUUUCAGUCAGUGAUUUAUGUUUCUUGCACUGAUGGUGGGAGAAAAGAUUCCACUGAGAAGUGCCUAUUUGGAUACAGAUAUUUUGGUGGGAUAAACACUCGUCAUAGGAAUGGUGGUGGAUUCAUUACAGUCUGUUUGAAACGGUAGAAGCUGUUGAUUCUUUCUUGGCACCUUUUGCCACAGUGACAGUGGAUAUGCAUCGACUGUAUCAAGGUUACCAUUGCUUACUGUACUAUGCAUGGACAGCUACGUGAACUGAAUGCUUACAAAAAUAAUAGUGCGCUUCUCAGUGCUCGGUUUAGAUAGGACUGGAUUAGAACUUCAUAUCCUUCGCCUGUCAUGCCGCCAGACACAAACUUUUGUUCUGACUUUGACACACACUGACAGUUUGAAUGACAUCAAGCUAAACUUCAGGAAGUUUGUCAGGAUUAACUUACCUCACCUAAAACUUCCCAGAAAAAUUUGUGAUAGGUUGAGACAUGCCAAGCAAUAAAUAAAACAAUGAGCUGUCUGAACAGUUUGAUAGGCAGAAAAUAAUCUGCACACACUUGUGGCUGUUUCGGCACCAAAGCAUCGCAGCCCACCUGUGAAAAUCUUCGUAUAACUGACACCUAUUGCCAUUUAAAAAUAAAAUUCUAUCUAUUUUAUAAACCCAGGAAAUUCUUCACAAAAUGCCCCAAAAAACAUUCAGUAGACUUUUGUUUCAUGGUGAAAUGAAAAAGCAAAAAAAUAAAAACAACAAACAUGCAAAUUUGCGCUUGCCAAACAGUGAGCAAGCGGGGGUGGACUACAUCAAUUAGUGAAAAAAUAUGCAAGGUAAAUACUUCACCUGGGCCUGAGGCUUAGCCCGCCUUCUUGUCUCAAGCAUGUCACGAGAACUCCCCGAUUACGGCAAAGCGUGAUUCAUCAACAUUUACUGGUAGCGUAGAUUAUUGCAACAGGGAUCAUUGGUUGGUUGGUGUGGUAUACUGUACCAAUACAAACUUCUGAAAAGCGGUUCUCAAAAGAGGAAAUGUUGAGAAGUUGUGGUGACAUAGCAGUGUGCUGACGCAAGAUCAGAGAAGCAUCUUGGAACAGGAGAGGAGUGGGAUGAAACAGCCACUGAAUGCGGAGGAAUCUUCCAAUUCUGUGUGAAGAGCAAAAUGGGUUCCAAAAUGACACGCUGACUGCACGCAUUACAGAGAGGAGGUGUGAUCCAGCUUGGGUCACCAAGUAUAAUGAGGGCAUUAAAAGAUCAGCCCCAAUGCAAAACCAUAACAGGAAUGUUGUUUGCUGCUUGCUGUGGAGAGUCACUCACGGUAUCUGUCUGUGUGAGUACUUGUGCCACCUCUGCUUGCAGUGGGGAAACAACAUGUGCUUUGAGUGAGCUUCUUUCACAACAUUGUGAAAUACCCGAGUUGUGUGGUUGGUAUCUUCCAUGACCAAGGAGUGCGUGCAGUGAUAUCAAGAGGAAAAGUCAUGCUCUGCCCACUUGGUCCAUUCCGCACCUUGGCUCCUCAUCCACCCAGAUGAGAUGUUACAUAAGAGCCGACAUUGGAUGGUAAAAGUUCAUCGAUCAGAGCCUCGUUCUGACUGACACUUUGUUACAUAAUGUUCUCUCAUUGCUCUUUAUUGGGGUAAUCAGCAUUAGGUCAUUAAUAAUAAUUAAAACAAGUUCAUGUGGGCUACUUUUUAUGGCUUCCCAUAUGACCCAUAAAUCAGCUUGGUGUCAAACAUAUUGCCCUUGGGCCAAAACCCACUUGUGUUGAAUCUGGCCUGCGGAAAACUUUGAAGUUAAAUAAAAUAAAUGAAUUACUACUUUAACAGUCAUGCAAUUGCAUGUUUAAUGUAUAGACUUUAUAUUUCGUUUACAGAGAAGGUGACCAAUUUCUUUCUUAUACACGCAAAAUUGUUCUUAUUUUAGUUUGUGUUUAUCUCUGAGUCAAUUUAGAUUUGGAGAAUUAUCUACAUGUAGUCAAAUGGAGUGAAAAUGAUUUCUAUGUCUUUAUGAGUUGAUUUUUAUUUUAUUUUUAUUUUUUUUUGCCAUUCCUCACACCUGUGACUUCAGCAAGCAAUGGAGGCCGACACCCCUGACAAGCCGACUUGGGAAAGAGUCAUUCAUUUGUCCAUUGUCUGAGCCGCUGAUCCUCACGAGGGUUGCGGGUAUUCUGGAGCCGAUCCUAGCCAUCUGCGGGCACUGAGCGGGGGAAAACCUAACUGGUUUCCAGCCAAUCGCAGGAGACGCGUAGACAGACCAACAACCAUUCCCGCUCACAAUCACCACUAGGGACAAUUUAAAGUGUUCCAUUAACCUGCUAUGCAUAUUUUUAGAACAUGGAAGGAAACCGCAGUACCCGGAGAAAACCCACAAAGGCACGGGGAGCACAUACAAACCCCACACAGGGUGUCCGAAGGCCCAGAAUUGAAACCAGCACCUCUGCACUAUCAGGCACAAAUGCUAACCAGUCACCACCAUGCCGCCCGGGAAACAACCAAAAUAAAGGAAAGUAUGCAUGCCAAUUGAGAUAUUUUGAAAACAGCCAACCGGGGCCAUGCCUCCAGUGGUUUGGUUUGAUAAUAUAACAAAUACUGCCUGCACACAAGCAGGGUGCUGAAAACUGUGCUGCUCUCAAAUGCAAGAACAAUAGGACAGAUACAGUAGUGGUUUCAAGAGGGGGGGUGACUUAGACUGGUAGAGAAGGUAGGGAAACCACAUGCACCGUUCUUCACAGGCCUCUGCUCUGACUGUCUGCAAGAGAAAAAAGUGAGCUGUGCGACGCAGAAGAAAUGACAUCAUCAAGCUAGUUGGACUGACCCAAGGCUUAGUCCUCUUCUAUUUUUAAUAUUUGUUUUCAACAUUUAUGUAAAAAAAAAA